rnacentral:rRNA from 1 species
AUUGAACGCUGGCGGCAGGCUUAACACAUGCAAGUCGAGCGGGGUGAUGGUGCUUGCACUAUCACUUAGCGGCGGACGGGUGAGUAAUGCUUAGGAAUCUGCCUAUUAGUGGGGGACGACAUCUCGAAAGGGAUGCUAAUACCGCAUACGUCCUACGGGAGAAAGCAGGGGAUCACUUGUGACCUUGCGCUAAUAGCUGAGCCUAAGUCGGAUUAGCUAGUUGGUGGGGUAAAGGCCUACCAAGGCGACGAUCUGGAGCGGGUCUGAGAGGAUGAUCCGCCACACUGGGACUGGGACACGGCCCAGACUCCUACGGGAGGCAGCAGUGGGGAAUAUUGGACAAUGGGGGGAACCCUGAUCCAGCCAUGCCGCGUGUGUGAAGAAGGCCUUAUGGUUGUAAAGCACUUUAAGCGAGGAGGAGGCUCUUUUGGUUAAUACCCAAGAUGAGUGGACGUUACUCGCAGAAUAAGCACCGGCUAACUCUGUGCCAGCAGCCGCCGCCG